CUACGGGCGGCAGCAGUGAGGAAUAUUGCACAAUGGGGGGAACCCUGAUGCAGCAACGCCGCGUGGAGGAUGACGCAUUUCGGUGUGUAAACUCCUUUUAUAUGUCAAGAAAAUGACGGUAGUAUAUGAAUAAGCACCGGCUAACUCCGUGCCAGCAGCCGCGGUAAUACGGAGGGUGCAAGCGUUACUCGGAAUCACUGGGCGUAAAGGACGCGUAGGCGGGUUAGAAAGUCAGGUGUGAAAUCCUACAGCUUAACUGUAGAACUGCACUUGAAACUUCUAAUCUAGAGUAUGGGAGGGGGAGAUGGAAUUAGUGGUGUAGGGGUAAAAUCCGUAGAUAUCACUAGGAAUACCUAAAGCGAAGGCGAUCUCCUGGAACAUUACUGACGCUAAGGCGUGAAAGCGUGGGGAGCAAACAGGAUUAGAUACCCGAGUAGUC
rnacentral:rRNA from 1 species